UAGGGAAUCUUCCGCAAUGGUCGAAAGUCUGACGGAGCAACGCCGCGUGAGUGAAGAAGGAUUUCGGUUCGUAAAACUCUGUUGUUAGGGAAGAAAAAAUGUAUAGUAACUAUAUACAAAAGAGACGGUACCUAACCAGAAAGCCACGGCUAACUACGUGCCAGCAGCCGCGGUAAUACGUAGGGGGCUAGCGUUGUCCGGAAUCACUGGGCGUAAAGGGUUCGCAGGCGGAAUAACAAGUCAGAUGUGAAAGGCAUGGGCUCAACCCAUGUAAGCAUUUGAAACUGUAAUUCUUGAGAAGUGGAGAGGUAAGUGGAAUUCCUAGUGUAGCGGUGAAAUGCGUAGAUAUUAGGAGGAAUACCUGUGGCGAAGGCGACUUACUGGACACAAAUCUGACGCUGAGGAACGAAAGCGUGGGUAGCAAACAGG
rnacentral:rRNA from 1 species